CGGGACGGGUGAGUAAUGUCUGGGAAACUGCCUGAUGGAGGGGGGUAACUACUGGAAACGGUAGCUAAUACCGCAUAACGUUGCAAGACCAAAGAGGGGGACCUUCGGGCCUCUUGCCAUCGGAUGUGCCCAGAUGGGAUUAGCUAGUAGGUGGGGUAACGGCUCACCUAGGCGACGAUCCCUAGCUGGUCUGAGAGGAUGACCAGCCACACUGGAACUGAGACACGGUCCAG
rnacentral:rRNA from 1 species